rnacentral:rRNA from 1 species
UACGAAGGUGGCAAGCGUUGUCCGGAGUUAUUGGGCGUAAAGCGCGCGCAGGCGGUGCGGUAAGUCUCUGGUGAAAGCGCUCGGCUUAACUGGGCGAGGGCCGGGGAGACUGCCACGCUGGAGGGGAGCAGAGGCGAGUGGAAUUCCGGGUGUAGUGGUGAAAUGCGUAGAGAUCCGGAGGAACACCAGUGGCGAAGGCGGCUCGCUGGGCUCUACCUGACGCUGAGGCGCGAAAGCGUGGGGAGCGAACCGG